GACCUGCGGAAAGAUCAUUU
rnacentral:rRNA from 1 species